AACCUAGCACACCUGCGGUGUGUACCUGCGGAGGGAUCAUUACAUGAUUUAACAGGGAGUGGAGGCUUCGGCCAAAGCUCUGUCUGAACCCAUGUCUUUUGCGUACUUCUUGUUUCCUCGGUGGGCUUGCCCACCGAUAGGACAACCUUAAACUCUUUGCAAUUGCAAUCAGCGUCUGAAAAACUAUAAUAGUUACAACUUUCAACAACGGAUCU
rnacentral:misc_RNA from 1 species